GUAGGGAAGGUAGAAGCAGUUGUGAAGGCAUUAAACGCAGAUAAAACUUUGGAGGAAACUAAGGGGACUAAUUGGAACACAGUGUUGUCUAAAAAAGAAGGCAACAUCUCGAUUGUCUUCUCCAAAUUUUAACAGAACACAAUCUGAUGGUCGAGCAGCAGGUGUUAAGGAAAUCCUUAGCAAGAAUCUGUAUGAUGUUUUGAUGAUUGAUGAAAAAAGUAUACCUGCUAAGAUGGAGAAUAAAUCACAGAAUAAGGAGGGACAGCCUGUCAUUGC
rnacentral:lncRNA from 1 species